AUUCGGCUCACAGAUUUGAGAUCCAGACUGCAGAUCAGAGGGGAGACUGACUUCUGCCCUUCAUUUGGACCAAAGAAUACUUAUCUCCUUAUUCCCAGCUUCUUCUCAAGUUGCAGCUAGACCUGGGGAGAUGUAAAUAUCAUGUGGGAUCCCAGUUUCCCAACCAGAAAUUGAACCUGUGCCUCCUGCAUUGGAACCAUGGAGUCUUAACCACUGAACCACCAGGAAAGUCCCAAUGAUGGAUUGUUUUGAGUAGGAACCUAUUCAUAUGAAAAGUAUGAAAUAUUCAAUAGAACACUCACCAAUAAAAGAUCAUUUUUAAUAUUCAGUGGGUAUAAAUCUCACAGUGACAAAAAUUAUUCAUUUAAAGGAGUGACUGUGGUUUAAAAUGAACACCCAAAAAAUGAGUGCAAGAGGUUUUGAUGAAUUAGUACACCACUCCUGGAAAGUGUGUUCAAUACAUUCUUUUUAACUGACCAUAGGUAAUCAGCCUUAAAAAGUAUUGAAGACAUGUAUAAGCCUGCACCAGGAAUUCUUUAUAACUCAUCAAGAUCCUUUGAGGUGAAGAGAUGGAAACUGUAUUUAUUAUUCUAUUUCUGCAUGGUUUUUCAAUAACUGUUAAAAUACAAAAUGGAUCUACAAACCAUCAGUUCAGUUCAGUUCAGUUCAGUCGCUCAUUCGUGUCCGACUCUUUGCAACCCCAUGAAUCGCAGCAAGUCAGGCCUCCCUGUCCAUCAGCAACUCCUGGAGUUCACUCAGACUCACGUCCAUUGAGUCAGUGAUGCCAUCCAGCCAUCCAUAGUUGAGAACAAUUAAAACUUAAGUAAAUGGAAAAGAUAUACCAUGUUCAUGGUUUUGAAGACUCUUUUCUUUCUUUUAGUUCUACCUCUGUUUAUUGCUACCAACCCAUCUUCCUCCACCUCCAUCGUGUGUGUGCUCUGUCAUGUAACCCGAUGGACUGCAGCCCUCCAGGCUCUUCUGUUCAAGGAGUUUUCCAGGCAAGAUUACUGGAGUGGGUUGCCAUUCCCAUCUCCUGAAGACUUUUUUCAAUUUUGCUUUUAUGUUAAAGGAUCAGUCAAUCAUGGACAGCCCUUUCUUUUUGAUACUACUUGUUUCUAAUAUUUGAUUCCUUAUAAUCCCCUUCAAUUUCAGAAAUAUUUUGUGUUUCUUUAAAUUAUCUAUAUGUGGCACAUAGUUACUUUAAUAUUUCAAUUCUCCCUAAACUGAUCUAUCCCAAUCAUAAUCCCAUCAAACAUUUUGUGUGUACAUAUAGAAUUGAACAAAUGUAUUCUAAAAUUUAUAUGAAAACACAACUACAAUAUUCAAUUGUAUAUAAUGUACUUGCAAUCUUGAAAAAGAAAGAAGUUGAAGGAAUUACAUUACCUGACUUCCUCAUAGUAGUCAAGAUUCUGAGACCAACAUAGGAUCAACAAAUAGAGGAAUAGAACAAAGCAGAAAACCCAAAGACAGAUCCAAACUUAGGAGAUACAGAGGCAAAGUGCAAAAUAGGUUUGGAAUGAAUUCUUCUUCAAAGAAAGAUGAUUAAUUAAAAGUCUAUAAAGGAUGUAAUAGGGUAUAUAAAGUCACGUCUAAGUGUCUUGUGAACUUUCAGUUCAGUUCAGUUCAGUCUCUCAGUCAUGUCCUACUCCUUGGACUGCAGCACGCCAGGCCUCCCCGUCCAUCACCAACUCCCAGAGUCCAUUCAAAUUCAUGUCCAUCAAGUCAGCGAUGCCAUCCAACCAUCUCAUCCUCUGUCGUCCCCUUCUCCUCCUGCUUUCAAUCGUCCCCAGCAUCAGGGUCUUUUCAAAUGGGUCAGCUCUUUGUAUCAGGAGUUUCAGCUUCAACAUUAGUCCUUCCAAUGAAUAUUCAGGAC
ensembl:lncRNA